rnacentral:rRNA from 1 species
UACGUAGGUCCCGAGCGUUGUCCGGAUUUAUUGGGCGUAAAGCGAGCGCAGGUGGUUUAUUAAGUCUGGUGUAAAAGGCAGUGGCUCGACCAUUGUAUGCAUUGGAAACUGGUAGACUUGAGUGCAGGAGAGGAGAGUGGAAUUCCAUGUGUAGCGGUUAAAUGCGUAGAUAUAUGGAGGAACACCAGUGGCGAAGGCGGCCUGCUGGACUGCAACUGACGUUGAGGCUCGAAGGCGUGGGGAGCAAACAGG